rnacentral:tRNA from 1 species
GGAGUGGUACUCAAGUGGCCGAAGAGGAUGGUUUGCUAAAUCAUUAGCAGGGGUGACUCUGGCGUGGGUUCGAAUCCCACCCACUCCGCCA